AGCUCCAAUAGCGUAUAUUAAAGUUGUUGCGGUUAAAAAGCUCGUAGUUGGAUUUCUGCUUGGGAUGAACGGUCCGCCCUCUGGGUGUUGUAUCUGGCUUGUCCCGGGCAUCUUCUUGAGGAACGUUUCUGCACUUGAGUGUGUGGUACGGAACUCAAGACUUUCACUUUGAGGAAAUUAGAGUGUUUCACGCAGGCUUUUGCCUUGAAUACGCUAGCAUGGAAUGAUAAGAUAGGACCUCGUCCCUACCUUGUUGGUUUGUAGAGAUGAGGUAAUGAUUAAUAGGGAUAGUCGGGGGCAUUCGUACUUAACUGUCAGAGGUGAAAUUCUUGGAUUUGUUAAAGACGGGCUACUGCGAAAGCAUUUGCCAAGGAUGUUUUCAUUGAUCAAGAACGAAAGU
rnacentral:rRNA from 1 species